UCCCCGUUGCCGGGGCAGUCUGGCUAGAAAAAUACAACUAACCAUAAGGGUUGCGCUCGUUGCGGGACUUAACCCAACAUCUCACGACACGAGCUGACGACGGCCAUGCAACACCUGUCACUGCGUUCCCGAAGGCACAAUCUCCUUUCGGAGAUCUUCACAGGAUGUCAAGUCCAGGUAAGGUUCUUCGCUUACCCUCGAAUUAAAGAACACGCUCCACCGCUUGUGCGGGUCCCCGUCAAUUCCUUUGAGUUUUAAUCUUGCGACCGUACUCCCCAGGCGGGAUGCUUAACGCGUUAGCUUCGCUACUAGACGGGUCGAUACGUCUAACAGCUAGCAUCCAUAGUUUACGGCGUGGACUAC
rnacentral:misc_RNA from 1 species